rnacentral:rRNA from 1 species
ACUCCAACGGGAGGCAGCAGUGGGGAAUUUUGGACAAUGGGCGAAAGCCUGAUCCAGCAAUGCCGCGUGAGUGAAGAAGGCCUUCGGGUUGUAAAGCUCUUUUGUCAGGGAAGAAACGGUGAAAGCUAAUAUCUUUUGCUAAUGACGGUACCUGAAGAAUAAGCACCGGCUAACUACGUGCCAGCAGCCGCGGUAAUACGUAGGGUGCAAGCGUUAAUCGGAAUUACUGGGCGUAAAGCGUGCGCAGGCGGUUUUGUAAGUCUGAUGUGAAAUCCCCGGGCUCAACCUGGGAAUUGCAUUGGAGACUGCAAGGCUAGAAUCUGGCAGAGGGGGGUAGAAUUCCACGUGUAGCAGUGAAAUGCGUAGAUAUGUGGAGGAACACCGAUGGCGAAGGCAGCCCCCUGGGUCAAGAUUGACGCUCAUGCACGAAAGCGUGGGGAGCAAACAGGAUUAGAUACCCCAGUAGUCCC